UUAUUCUUUAGCUAUGAUGUUUUUCAGAUGAAGAUAAAAAAAGUGACCAUGACCUCACAGAACAGGAAACUAGCCCUGCUGAUCGGACAUUUCAGUGAUAUGAAAAGAACGUGUUAGUGUCAGAGCUGGACGUUACGAAGCGACACUCUGUGCUUGUUUGUGAACUUUUAACAUUUAUAAUGACAAAAGUUUUAGGUUUUAUUUUAGUGAUGAAUGCGCUUCUCUGCUGCGGACAUGCUGAAGGCACAAUUCUGACUAUUGAUCCCAACUGGUCGACUUUUCAUCCUGGAGAGAGAGUGACGUUCAUUUGUGACAUGAAUGAAGGCAAAGACACCGACUGGGAAUAUGAGAUAAAAAAAAUGGAGAACAAUUUCUUCACUCCAACCCGCGAAAAAGCUUCACAUUACUACCUAUCCAAAUCGAUCACAGUGAUGAAUACCAGUGCUGUGGACACAGGAAGAGCUCUGGUGAUACCAAGUGCAGUGAUACUGUCUCUUUAACUGUUACUGACCCCAGUGAAGGUGAGAACUAGUAACCCGAACAACAAAAAGCAGGAGAUUGGAGUCCAGCAGCAACAGAUACUCCACAUUAUUUUACGAUCAGAAACAACACUGGACAAUUCUGCUGCCCUGUUUUCAUUAUAUGUUGUGAUGAUUAUUGUAUUUCUGCAGCUUUAAGAUGCCAAAGAUAAUUUAAUUAUGCUAUAUCUCUUCAAGAAUCAGAUGCGCUCUAAUUUUACAUUUUCGCUCAUGUCAUAAAUAGGAUAGGUCGCACAUUCAUAAAUUGAAAUGUUGUAAGAUUCUUGUGAAAUAAAAUUAAAGAUGAAAAUUACAAACUCCGUUCUUUCCUACGUAGCUGGAUUUGUAGCUUUUACAGUUAUGCUAUGUUUGCAAUAAAUACGAAAUUGUCACAGA